GUUUGGAACAGAAAUAUUUAAUA
rnacentral:snRNA from 1 species